GGCCCGUUCGUAGCGGCCAAGGAUACCGGCCUCUCACGCCGGAGACACGGGUUCAAAUCCCGUACGGGCUA
rnacentral:tRNA from 1 species